rnacentral:rRNA from 1 species
CCUACGGGCGGCAGCAGUAGGGAAUAUUGCACAAUGGGGGAAACCCUGAAGCAGCAACGCCGCGUGGAGGAUGAAGGUUUUCGGAUUGUAAACUCCUAUUGUCAGAGAAGAUAAUGACGGUAUCUAACGAAUAAGCACCGGCUAACUCCGUGCCAGCAGCCGCGGUGAUACGGAGGGGGCAAGCGUUACUCGGAAUCACUGGGCGUAAAGAGCGCGUAGGCGGGAUAGCAAGUCAGAUGUGAAAUCCUAUGGCUUAACCAUAGAACUGCAUUUGAAACUGUUAUUCUAGAGUAUGGGAGGGGUAGGGGGAAUUCUUAGUGUAGCGGUAGAAUCCGUAGAGAUCAAGAGGAAUACUCAUGGCGAAGGCGACCUACUAGACCAUAACUGACGCUGAGGCGCGAAAGCGUGGGGAGCAAACAGGAUUAGAUACCCGAGUAGUC